rnacentral:lncRNA from 1 species
CCAGCUAAGGCGCCUGUCCCCAUUUGUAGAUGUGUGGAGAAAAAUGAAGUGACAUGUUAACUGUUUCCUGUCCCUUGGAUGAAAAAAAAAAUUAGCUCCACAUAAAAUUUCGUGAAUUUUUGCCUCCGAAAAGGUGGAAAUUUAAUUCUUUGAGAUUGCUUCCCACGUGAAAAAAUAAUAAAUCACAAAGUGCUUCAUGUGGUUUUUAGAAAGGUAAGUGUUGGUGGUAUAAUCUUGUAUGGAUGGGCCACAAUUUUCCUACAUAGC